rnacentral:rRNA from 1 species
UACGAAGGGGGCGAGCGUUGUUCGGAUUUACUGGGCGUAAAGGGCGCGCAGGCGGCUCAUUUUGUCAGGCGUGAAAGCCCCGGGCUUAACCUGGGAACUGCGUUUGAUACGGAUGGGCUAGAGUUCGGGAGAGGAGAGUGGAAUUCCCAGUGUAGAGGUGAAAUGCGCAGAUAUCAGGAGGAACACCAACGGCGAAGGCAGCUCUCUGGGACGUUACUGACGCUGAGACGCGAAAGCGUGGGGAGCAAACAGG